rnacentral:rRNA from 1 species
GAUGAACGCUGGCGGCGUGCCUAAUACAUGCGAGUCGAGCGAACAGACGAGGAGCUUGCUCCUCUGACGUUAGCGGCGGACGGGUGAGUAACACGUGGAUAACCUACCUAUAAGACUGGGAUAACUUCGGGAAACCGGAGCUAAUACCAGAUAAUAUAUUGAACCGCAUGGUUCAAUAGUGAAAGACGGUUUUGCUGUCACUUAUAGAUGGAUCCGCGCCGCAUUAGCUAGUUGGUAAGGUAACGGCUUACCAAGGCAACGAUGCGUAGCCGACCUGAGAGGGUGAUCGGCCACACUGGAACUGUGACACGGUCCAGACUCCUACGGGAGGCAGCAGUAGGGAAUCUUCCGCAAUAGGCGAAAGCCUGACGGAGCAACGCCGCGUGAGUGAUGAAGGUCUUCGGAUCGUAAAACUCUGUUAUUAGGGAAGAACAAAUGUGUAAGUAACUAUGCACGUCUUGACGGUACCUAAUCAGACAGCCACGGCUAACUACGUG